rnacentral:rRNA from 1 species
GACAGAGGGGCAAGCGUUGCUCGGAAUCACUGGGCGUAAAGGGCGCGUAGGCGGGAUGGCAAGUCAGUCGUGAAAUCUCUCGGCUCAACCGAGAAACGUCGGCUGAUACUGCCGUUCUUGAGGGAUGCAGAGGAGACUGGAAUUCCCGGUGUAGCGGUGAAAUGCGUAGAUAUCGGGAGGAACAUCAGUGGCGAAGGCGGCUACCUGGCCCAAUACUGACACUCAGGUGCGACAGCGUGGGGAGCAAACAGG